rnacentral:lncRNA from 1 species
GUCGGCUCUUCUAUGAGGGGUAGUCACAGCCCACUUGCGGCACCUCCGUGGCGGCCUCCACCUUCAUCGCGGUGCUGUAGGGUCUUGCAUUAGCUUCCGGAUCUUGAGAGGGCCCAAAGCCGUGAAACAUCAGGGACCAGGGCUGCGAAUACCCUUGGGACCUUUGUCCAAGACACAGGCUCUUCCCUUUCAGGAGUCUUAUGGCCUCUAGCCUGCUUUUAAACCGUUCUUUUUACCCCUGUUAUCCCCUCCUCCCGAUUCUCUUAACUCAGUACCUCUCUGGCCUUAAGGAGAGGAAAUACGCAAGAUGAGGUACGCAAACGAGUGUUGGGUAACCAGGUAUGUGAAUGAGCAGGGGCUGAGAACCCAAUUAAUUAUACCACAAAGCCUCCUGAAGGCACACAUGGUCUUUGGUUCCGUAAUUACUUCACUGCUGUCAGGCAGUGGGCCGAAAGAGUUUCUUCGGAGCUCUCCAAAACCUCACCGUCUCACCUUUACUUGGCAAAGGGACUUUGUAUCAGAAAACUGUUUUUGGAUUAUAGAGCUAGGAGCCCUCAAGCGAUUGAGGCAGUCCCACAGCAGUCAGGAGAUGAGAAAACUGAGGUCAGAAAGGUAAACUGAGAAGCCUGUUUUGGAAGAGAAGUGCAAGUAUGUGAUAUCCAGUAUGAAGGAACAAAACCCUCUGAUUUCUACAUGGAAAACAAACCCUCUUUUGGCUGCGUCUCUGUGCGAUAGAAACCAGGAAGCAGCAGCCUCAGAAGCUUCCAGUCACCUCCUGCCUACCUGCACUGCUGUCACUCAGAUUCUUCUUCCCCCGCCCUGGCCUCAAGGAGGGGAGGAAGGAAGGGCGAAGGAAGGACGAAGCAGAAUUCUAGGAGCGUCCUCUCCACUGUCGUCUUUGCCAAUAAAAUUUAAGAUGCAUCAUUUUCUAUUUGUUGU